rnacentral:rRNA from 1 species
AUUGAACGCUGGCGGCAGGCCUAACACAUGCAAGUCGAGCGAGCGGCGGACGGGUGAGUAAUGUCUGGGAAACUGCCUGAUGGAGGGGGAUAACUACUGGAAACGGUAGCUAAUACCGCAUACCAUCAGAUGUGCCCAGGUGGGAUUAGCUAGUAGGGGGGGUAACGGCCCACCUGGGCGACGAUCCAUAGCUGGUCUGAGAGGACGACCAGCCACACUGGAACUGAGACACGUUCCAGAUUCCUACGGGAGGCAUCAGGGGGGAAGAUUGCACAAUGGGCGCAAGCCUGAUGCAGCCAGGCCGCGUGUGUGAAGAAGGCCUUCGGGUUGGAAAGCACUUUCAGCGGGGAGGCGGUACCCGCAGAAGAAGCACCGGCUAACUCCGUGCCAGCAGCCGCGGUAAUAC